AGCGGCGCACGGGUGAGUAACGCGUACAUGACCUACCUCUAAGACUGGGAUAGCCCUGGGAAACUGGGAUUAAUACCGGAUGUGAUAAUAUGUAUAGAGAUGUAUUAUUAAAGAUGAGUCGCUUAGAGAUGGGUGUGCGUAUGAUUAGCUAGUUGGUAGGGUAACGGCCUACCAAGGCGACGAUCAUUAGGGGGCGUGAGAGCGUGGCCCCCCACACGGGUACUGAGACACGGACCCGACUCCUACGGGAGGCAGCAGUAAGGAAUAUUGGUCAAUGGACGGAAGUCUGAACCAGCCAUCCCGCGUGCAGGAUGACUGCCCUAUGGGUUGUAAACUGCUUUUAGCAGAGACGAAACGCCUUCAUUUAUGGGGGUCUGACGGUAUCUGCAGAAUAAGCACCGGCUAACUCCGUGCCAGCAGCCGCGGUAAUACGGAGGGUGCAAGCGUUAUCCGGAAUCACUGGGUUUAAAGGGUGCGUAGGCGGGGAAUUAAGUCAGUGGUGAAAGCCUGUCGCUUAACGAUAGAAUUGCCAUUGAUACUGAUUUUCUUGAAUUGGGUUGAGGUUAGCGGAAUGUGACAUGUAGCGGUGAAAUGCAUAGAUAUGUCAUGGAACACCAAUUGCGAAGGCAGCUAGCUGGGCCUUGAUUGACGCUGAGGCACGAAAGCGUGGGUAGCGAACAGGAUUAGAUACCCUGGUAGU
rnacentral:rRNA from 1 species